UAGGCUUGGGUGGCGAGCGAGGGAUCGAACUGCUUCUUUAUUCUUACGCUUUGGAUGUAACUGGGAGGGAACUUGGAAUAGAAUCUCAUCUGUUGCUCCGUGAAAGGAUCAGAUACAGAAGCGUUUCAUUGGCCGCCUCUGAUAGGGUUCGAGCCACCAUUUUCCACGCUCUUCUGCUCUGAUUUCGUCCAAAAACCCUAAUACUCUCUCCACUUUCAAUACCUCAAUCUUGGGUUUUUGUUAUAAUCUCAGGGCCUUCGAAUUUCCUUAACUGGAGGUUCAAAUUUGAAUCCCAAUUGAUGCGGAUGAUUUAUCAGUGGCUUGAGCUGAAGAAUGUGCCCGUGCCUUUGUGGUUCUUUUAAUACAAUUUACCAUUGUGUAAGUAUAAAAUUCUAAUUUUAUAGGAUUUUAGAUGUAUGGUCCAGCAAAUUAUGCUUCUCAGUUCGGGCAGGGUCCUCAGAAACCAUGGCCACCUGCAUACCAACAGCGUGCAGUUGCACCUCCUCCGCCUCCUCCUCCUACCUCAUAUAUGCAACCAGGCCCUCCAAUCCCAUCACGUCCUAUAACUCAACAAGCACCUGCCCCCCCACCUCAGGCUGGUCAACCUCUUCAUCUUUCUCAGUCGGGUCCUCACGUUCCACCACCUCCACUCUGUCAGGGCCCAUCCGUUCAAGUGCUACCUGGUGGGAUCCCAAACAUCCGUCAAACUUAUUUUCACACUUUUCCACCAGUCCAUGGAAGCACACAAGGUUUUCAAUUUAACUCAAGUACUCAGCAGAAUGUACAACUUUCACAGUCAGGAGUUCAGAACAUGCAUCAUAUUCUACCUCCACCACCCCCGCUACCACCACCACCACCACCACCUCCUCCUCAUGCUCCUAAUCCACCACCACCCCCUCCUCAUGCUCCUAAUCCAGAUUUAUUACGGCCUCCACAACCCUCUACAGUAGUACCUGUUCAUCCUCCUUCACAAGGACAAACAUUGUAUGGAGCUCGAGUUCAUCCACCAUUGCAACAAGGUGGUUUGCAGGUCUUUCCCUCUAUACCACAACAUCCAACAACGUCCAACUUCCCUACUCCUCCUUUUGGAGGAGUUAUGCAAUCAAAUCUUGGAGAGUCUCAUUUGUCUCCAAUGGCUCCUCCACCACCACCAUCCUCUCCGCCACCUAUUCCACCUUCUCCCCCUCCUCCCACGUCGCCCUCCUUUUAUUCAAUUCCAAGCUCGGGUUCUUCCAACUUGUUGUGCCAGUCUGAAUUUGAUCCUAGUUCUACCAUUAAUUCUAGUAAAGAAUUGAAAGCCUUUGAGUCUAAUCAAGGAGGCACACCUACCAGACAUUUAGGGGAUAACGGACCCAAGCAUAAGCAUAGAAAUUUGGAUGGCAGUAUUGGCCUUAUGAUGGGUUCUAAAGUGGACAAUGAGAUAUUGUCAGAUAAAGGUAAUGUGCAGGAUCUUCCUCCAUCCCCACCUAAGCCAAAAGAUGAUAAAAUUACCAGGAAGAUAGGAGUAUUAUGCAAGUACAUUGCUAAUAAUGGUUCCAGUUUUGAAGACACUACUCGCCAAAAGGAAUUUGGGAAUCCAGAGUUUGAAUUUUUAUAUGGUGGUGAACCGGGAAGUGAAGCUGCAAUUGGUCAUGAAUAUUUUCUGUGGAUGAAGAAGAAAUAUAGUUUGGAUUGCAAAAAUAAAGAAAUGGAAGAAAAAUCUCCAGUGAGAUCUUUAAGAAUUGGGCCACAAUCUGAGUCUUUGACAGUGUCAGCAGCAUCCAUUUCACCUGAAAAUUCCGACAUGGAGAUGGAAGAUGAUAUUACCCCAGAUGGUAUAGGGGAGGAAACUAGUCACUCCUUUAAAAUUCAAAGCUACGAGUGCAAAUCAAGAAAAGAAGAGCAUGAUGCAAAGGAUCAGUUACAAGGACCUAAAGAUUUGCAAAGAAGCAGCCCAGUGAAGGGGAAAGUAGCUGAAGUUCCACAGUUCCUUUCAAUUCAACCUAGUUGUGCCAUGCAGAGAGGAUUUUGGACGAACCUGGAAAAAGAUGGAGAGUCAAAGCUUCUGCUCGAGCAUGAAAAAUCUGUCAGCCUGGAAGCUUGCCAAGUUCACAGCCCUGUCAUAAAUACUGCUGGAGUUGUUGAACAGCCUUUAGGAAGCAAUUUUGAGAUUUCUGUUACCUGCAUACAAAAUGAAAAAAGUCUAGCAGCUUCUGAAGCUGUUAAUUCUAGUCUGUCUACUGAACUUAUUAUUGGUGGCAGCCCAUUCAGACUUAUACAGGACUACGCUUCUGAUGAAAAUUCAGAAACCGAUGAGGAAUCACACCUUAAAGAUGUCAGUUUUGCUAUCUCACCUUCAACUCCAGCUUCUUCCAAGACUUCCGGAAAAGACAGUGAUAAUUUGACUAUUCUGGGAUCAGAAGGUUCUUGCCAGGUUCAACGGAGUAAUGUUCCACCUUGUGAAGCCUCGAUGCCUGAUUUUGGUUCUCAGUUCCUCUCGGAAUCACCAAAACUGAUUUUUGAUGCCAAUGAGGCAAAUGUGAGAAGGGCAGGGAAUGAACGGAACUAUAAAAUUCAUCAGAAUCAAGUUGGCACCCGCACCAGUUCUAAGUCUUUGGAUGCAGAUGCAGUGAAAGGUCGUAGUGUUGAUGUUCUCCAUGAUAGUCACAAGUUACAAAAAGAGAAUGAUGAGGAAAAGCAGAAGUUUGGAUCAUCGCCUGUAAAAAUAGAUGAGUUUGGAAGAUUAGUCAGAGAAGGUGGUAGCGAUAGCGAUUCAGAUGAUUCACACUAUACAAGGAGACAUAAGAAAAGAAGAACUAGAAAUAGUAGUGAAAGUCAUUCUCCUGUUGACAGGAGGAGGGGGCGAAGGAGUCCGUGGAGAAGAAGGCAGAGGCGAAGUCGCUCACGCAGUUGGUCUCCUCGUAAUCAAAGAGGCAGAAGCAGAAGCAGGUCUCCUGUCAGCAGGCGUACAAGUCAGUUUAAUAAUGAGAAUAUGAAACGAGAUAAGGGUAUGAUACGAAAAUGCUUUGACUUUCAGCGAGGUAGGUGCUAUAGAGGAGCAUCUUGUCGCUAUGUGCACCAUGAACCCAGCAAGAAUGAUGGAUCAAGACACCAUAGGAGCAAACAUCAUGAUGUUCAUCCAACUUCAGAGAAUAUAAAGGGUAGAGAGGACACUGUGAACAUGUCUAGGGAAGUAUCAGAUCCUGGGCAUAUUAAAGUUGAGAAUCAGGGGUGCAUUCAGCAUAAUGUGUCCCCAAAAGAUGAUACCCAUGAUUGGAAGAAAGGUAGUCCCACUGGUGAUCCAGAUUUAGAUGUAACUAAAUGUCAAAGUUCUAGAGAUAGAGCUGGCUUAGUUCAAGAAGAAUUAAUUUAUUCCAAAGCAGCAGAGGCUGUCCACAUUCACGUUAACGAGAAUAUUCAAGAAGCAGGGAAGUCUUAUGAGCAACUUUCAGUUACGGCUGCCUCACAAUGCAUGAGCAAUGCUGAUACUGAGAAAUUAUCGGGUGAUAUUUCCAUGAGCAUGCUGACUUCUGUAGAGAAGUCUUUGGCUCAUGCUCAGCAAUCCAACAUGUUUGCUUCAGAGUUUGAAGCUGCCAAUAGUGUCUCACACCAAAUGGAUGGUUCAUUUGUCUCCCAUUUGUUACCCGAUCAAGUAACUGCUGUCAGUACCAAUAAAGCUCCUGAAUGUGAACAUUUUCCUGAUAAAAAUUCAUUAAUUAAGCUCCAGUUUGAUACCAGUUCUGCUGGUCAGCAGCCUUCGACCUUACAAUUUUUAUCUGAGUCUCCAGUACCAAAAUCAUUAUCUGCUACUGCUCCAGGUUGUGCUAUGGAUGAUGCCCAUCCUCUAAGAGAGCUGCCCCCUCCGCCUCCUCUCCCAACUUCAUGUGUCACUAGUGCUGAUGUUCUAAUGCCUACCCCCUAUAACUUUGUGUCACAAAAUGUGUCCUUUCCUUCUAAGCCUUCUCUACCGGGAGGUUUUCAACCUCAUCAGGAUAUCGUAUCCAUCCAAUCAUCUCAUUACCACAGCACCACUUUCCCGCCUUCAAGACCAUUAUAUGAUCCAACAAUGGCUCAUGUAACUACCAAAGAUGGUACGCCAAUGCAAUUUCAUCAGAGUCAUUUGUCUCAAGGAAGUGAUCGGGGUUCUCAGUCUGUUAUGAAAUCCCAGCCAUUGGUGACAAAUUCUCAUUCUAUGCUUGGUGAGUCUCCAGUUCGGGAGCCUUAUAGAGCUCCAUUGCACAUGGAUGAAAUUAGAUCAACCGCCCCAGUUGCAAAUAAUCGACCUAUUCAGCCCUUUGGAUUCCCCAGCUUUCAGAAAGAAGAAAACUUUGGGCGGACUUCUGUGGAGAUGAGUUCUUCUAGUUUUUUUCCCCAUCGGAACUUUAAUGAUCAAUCUAUGCCCUUCACAAAUGCAAAUAGAAUGCAAUCUUCUGGUGACAAUUUUCCUCCCAGUGAAUUUCGAAGUUCAUUUUCACAGUUUCAUUCUUAUUCACGGUUCCAACAGCCAUUAUAUGCCUCGCAAUCUGCACAUGAUAGUUUUUUACAUGGCCCAAGUCAGAUUGGUACUAUAUCUCGACAUUAUCCUGAUCCUCUAAGCAGGAACCAUUCGUCUUUGCUUCCUGAUUUUGGGGGUUUGGGUAUUACCACUUAUCAUAAUCCUUAUGCGUCUACUUUUGACAAGCCACUUAGCUCCAACUUCAGAUCUAACAUUUUGAACUUUGGAAAUGAUGCACCUAGUGGUGAUAUACGUGAUUCUACUUUCAAUUUGAGCAAUGUUCGAGUUGAUGGGCAAGGUGCUAAUUAUUUUGGAUCAGGGCUGACAACUACUUCGCCAAAAUCCACCAAACCUUCGGGGAAACACUUGCCCAGCUCAGGUGGUGAUCAGUAUGAUCCACUCUUUGACAGCAUUGAGCCAUCACCACCUAUUACCAAGAAAUCUGAUCGCAUUCGAAAGCUGGAAAAAGCAAGAGAAUCUCAUAUGAUGACAAGACUUGGUGGUUCCCAUAAAUUACCAGAUGUGGAGGAGAACAACAAGCAUAAGGAGGUUGCUGCUGUGGCUUCAACUACUUCUCUGGAGAAUGAUGAAUUUGGGGAGACAGCAGAUGCAGAAGCUGGUGCUGUUGAGAAUGACCUUGAUGACGAAGAAAACUUAACCGGAGAGAUUGAAAUUGAUCAGGUUAAGUCCUCAGAGAAGAGCAAGAAAUCCAAAGGUUCCAGGUCGCUGAGGCUUUUCAGGAUUGCUAUUGCCGAUUUUGUGAAGGAAGUUCUAAAACCAUCAUGGCGACAGGGCAAUAUGAGCAAGGAAGCUUUUAAGACAAUUGUCAAGAAGACUGUUGACAAAGUAUCUGGAGCUAUGAAGAGUCACCAAAUACCCAAGUCUCAAGCAAAGAUAAAUAGAUACAUUGAUUCGUCACAACGAAAACUGACAAAGCUUGUUAUGGGUUACGUUGACAAGUAUGUUAAGACAUAGAAAAUGAACGAAAGCUGCAAUGCCAAUGUGGUGGACUGAUGAGAGCAACAUUAUUAUGGAUGCUUCUCCCCUUGUGGUGGUUAUCAGGAACUAUGCAUUGUUGUUUGACAUCUGCAGGGGAUGGAUAGGUGAUAUAUCCAUAGUGUUGGUUGAAAUGUCGGUCAGAGUUAGUAAUGGUCCUGUGGAUACUGGAGAAAUGAUGAAGCUUAUGAUAUGUUGAGCAUCGUGACACAAGUUCUUUUAACAUAUGAUUCUCAUUAGAGUCCCGAGGCCGCAGCAAAAUAACGUGAAACAACUAAGUGAUGUGAUAAUACUUUGAUCUUUAUGAAAAAUCUGUUCAUGCUUCUGGUUUAAGGACUUAUUGAGGAGCAUUCCAUCAUCCUUCAACCAUUUAGUGACCAUUGACUUCCUUAGAGUUGCACUUUGCGGUCUUAUUCUCAGUUUAUUGGUAUAAGGUAUGUUUAGGAGGAACAAAUUGUAUUAGCAUCAAACGCAUUUACUUUGUACCUUUGCAGAUUAUUACUUAACUAGGAUGAGUAUAUAUGUUCAAAAUUUUGGAUUAGUUUAGGUCAUGUCUGUAUAUCCCUCGUGUGUUUAUUGACAAGAAAAUGUAACAGUUGGGCUUCUAAAUUACAAGGAAUUGUUUUACAAUUUGAAUUAUAUGUUGGGACGAAUACUGUAAAAUAGAUGAGUUUGUGCUGACUGCUUGAGAAAUAGAUUUUGGCCUUGUUUUCAGUAGCCUUUAGACCCUUAUUUUUUAUCUGAACACUUUGACUAUGUAAUGAAGGGAAGRAGUCUGUUGGGUUAAGGUUAGACCAGCUUUUGAGAUUGUUAUUCUUCCGACUUUGUUGCUUAUGUUAUUGGAGAAUCCUUAAAGAGAAAUAUGGGAAUUUAGAGAAUGGUAUCUAUGGACGAGACUUGUCUACCAUGAUGAAGUAUGUUUUCCUUGGUUCAACAUGUGGAGUAGUUUGUAAUUUCAGCUUAGCCAUGAUGGUCCAAGAUUACUUUGUAUUAGUUUUUGGGAGGGGUGCCCACAUCUCCAUCCUGCUGUUUGGAAUUCGAAUCUCCAACCUUUUGAUUGAGUAUAUACCGCAACCAGAUACAGACUGGCGGGAUAAGCUUCCUUUUGGCUUGAAUUGAUGGAUGAUCUUGUUCUUAGAGCUACAGAAAUUAUGAAAUGAUUCCAUUCAAUCUCAUCAAGAUGCUCAAGUUACGACAUGACACUAGUAUUUCAGACCCAAUCAAGUCAAGUCAUGAAGUGAUAUAGUAUUAUUCCUCUGAUCAGAACCAGUUUUCUGAUGUCAAAGACUCUAGAACUAGAAGCUUGCUUCCUUUUUAUGUUUCAGUUGGGGAGGAGACAGAUGUGACUCCAAAACUGUUCACAAUUCAACCGUUCCAAGGACGGGAUCUGCCAGCAAAGGGUGUUUGUAAUUUUGGUCGGAGAGGACCGAUUGUGUUAUGUUACGAACUACUUAAGAUCUUACUCUUUGUCAAUCUGAAUAUAUUUCACUUGAAGAA